rnacentral:rRNA from 1 species
AAAUGUCCCAACCCUAGAAUCGCUGUUUUUCCUCUCGCUCCUCCUGUGGGCGGCGCCGCCGCUGCGCACAGAACACAUCCUCGCCAGCGUAGCUUCUCCGGCGUCCGGCCAACGCGCUCACUAGCCUCCCGCCUUCCUCCACAUCUCCUCGCCUCCACCCCAUCCAGUUCGUGCCAUUCGCUGCUCCAAGACAAGGGCAUGGCGCUCGGCGGCUGCGGCAACGAAGCUGAUGGUGCACAAGCCAACCAUGGAGGCAGUAGCACGGGGCAGCGACAGCAGCAUGGAGGGCGUCCUCUUGUUUGGGAAGGUAAUGGAACUGCAAAUAGGAGUGGCAGCGGCGACCAAGAUGCAAAUGGAAGUGGUUCCCGAAGACCUUGGAAAGGACUUAAAGACAAUAACUUAUAUGAUCCUUGGAACCAUGCAUGGCCGUAUUAUGGGGGUUUUGAUUGCACGUACUGCAGCCUAAAGCACAAAGGUGGAGGUGCAACCCGUGUCGCGGAGCACCUUGGUGGUAUUGUAGGUAAUGUGAGGAGCUGUCCCAAUGUGCCAAGAAAUGUGAGAGAUGCAAUGAGAGAGUGCCGGGAUGAAUCAAGGAGGAAGAAAAGAGACAAACAAAAUAGCAGGCUGAGAAUUGAAAGAAAUAUUAUGGAAGGGUUGUAUAAAAAAGGAGGGGUGGUUAACGUACCAGAUGAUGAUGAAGAAGAAAUUCAGAUGAAUAUUAGAGAAGCAUUGCGUGACCCGAAUGUCUCUCGCAGAAUUGAAAGGAGAAUUGGCAAGGGGGGUGUGGGUGAUGUGCAUGUUUCUGUUGGUAAAAGGAGUAUCAGCGCCUAUUUUGACUGGCAAUUAUCUAGCAACAAAGUAUCUAUGCAGCCCAAGAUCAGUAGUGCUUUGGAUCCUAAUUCAAGAGAUGCACUUGGUCUAGCUUGGUCCAAGUUUUUUCAUGCCAAUGAUAUUGCUAGACGUAAAGCUGAUUGCCCAUACUUUCGAGCUGCUGUGAAGAUCACUCAACAAUUAGGGCCUAUUCCUAUACCAACUGCGAAGGAGAUUGAUGGGCCAUAUUUGGAGGCCAACUAUGAUGAAGCUAAUUCGUUUCUUCAAAAAUUCAAACAAGACUGGAAGAACUUUGGUGUGACUCUUAUGUGCGAUUCUUGGACUGGUCCUACAGGAAUGAGCAUCAUAAACUUCAUGGUGUAUUGUAAUGCACGAAUGUUCUUCCUCAAUACCAUUGAUGCAUCCGGACAAACUCAGAAUUCAGACUUUAUCUAUAGAGAGAUUGAAGGCGUCUUAUGUUGGUUCAAAGGGUAAUAACAAGAAAAGAAAGAGGAAUGAUGAUGAUGAGAAUGAGUUUCUUGAAACUGAGAGUGAGGAUGAUGAAGAAGAGAAUGAAUAUGUUGAUAAUGACAUCGAGGAUGAUGAUGGGGUGAGUGAGGAUGAUGAGGAUGGUGAACAAGAUCAGCUAGAGACACAAAUGCAACUUGAAGAAGAGACACAAGUACAAGUUCAAAAGGAGGCACCAACAAGCACUGGCCAUUUGGAGACUAGAUCUGGACGACUUAUUAGGAAGAAGACCAAGAACGUCAACAGCCUCUACUCGUAAAUUUGAAAUGGCACGUGAGCAAAGGAUAUCAAGAAGCUUUUGGAUGUUGGGAAGCUUGGAGCUGAUGCUUCAAAUAAGCUGAUGGUUGUCUUUUGGAGAUGUUUCUAUGUUUAAUGCUUUAAAGUCUUUUGGUUGUACUGGACUAUUUAAACUUUGAACUAUGUUGUGAUGCUUGAACUGAUGCUGGACGGUUAAGGGUUUAUGUCAGAGGCAACUUUAUAACUAAUGUGUGCCUGUUAUGUUGGACUGUUAAGGGUUAUGUUGGAGGCAAUUUUAUAACUAAUGUGUGUCUGCUAUGUUGGAUUGUUAACUGUUAUGUUGGAGGCAACAUUAUAGCUAACGUGUGCCUGUUAUGUUGGGCAGAUUCAAUUUUCUUAAUCCCUAGAGCUUAUUUGCUAAAGUUUAUAAGAUCUCUCCUGAUGGUUGU